UACGUAGGGUGCAAGCGUUGUCCGGAAUUAUUGGGCGUAAAGAGCUCGUAGGCGGUUUGUCGCGUCGAAUGUGAAAACCCGGGGCUCAACCUUGGGCUUGCAGUGGGUACGGGCAGACUAGAGUGCGGUAGGGGUGCUGGAAUUCCUGGUGUAGCGGUGGAAAUGCGUAGAUAUCAGGAGGAACACCGGUGGUGUAGACGGCUCACUGGACCGUA
rnacentral:rRNA from 1 species